GUGAACGCUGGCGGUAGGCCUAACACAUGCAAGUCGAACGGCAGCACAGUAAGAGCUUGCUCUUACGGGUGGCGAGUGGCGAACGGGUGAGGAAUACAUCGGAAUCUACUUUUUCGUGGGGGAUAACGUAGGGAAACUUACGCUAAUACCGCAUACGACCUACGGGUGAAAGCAGGGGAUCUUCGGACCUUGCGCGAUUGAAUGAGCCGAUGUCGGAUUAGCUAGUUGGCGGGGUAAAGGCCCACCAAGGCGACGAUCCGUAGCUGGUCUGAGAGGAUGAUCAGCCACACUGGAACUGAGACACGGUCCAGACUCCUACGGGAGGCAGCAGUGGGGAAUAUUGGACAAUGGGCGCAAGCCUGAUCCAGCCAUACCGCGUGGGUGAAGAAGGCCUUCGGGUUGUAAAGCCCUUUUGUUGGGAAAGAAAAGCAGCAUGUUAAUACCCCGCUGUUCUGACGGUACCCAAAGAAUAAGCACCGGCUAACUUCGUG
rnacentral:rRNA from 1 species